rnacentral:ncRNA from 1 species
GGGUGGAGCCGUGACUGGCGCGCUGGGAUGGGGUCAACCAUCGGGGAGCGGCUCGUCGUGACCACAAGAGCCGUGCGCCUGGGCCGUCCCG